UACGUAGGGCGCAAGCGUUGUCCGGAAUUAUUGGGCGUAAAGAGCUCGUAGGCGGUUUGUCGCGUCUGCUGUGAAAACCUAAGGCUCAACCUUGGGCUUGCAGUGGGUACGGGCAGACUAGAGUGCGGUAGGGGUGACUGGAAUUCCUGGUGUAGCGGUGGAAUGCGCAGAUAUCAGGAGGAACACCGGCGGCGAAGGCGGGUCUCUGGGCCGUAACUGACGCUGAGGAGCGAAAGCGUGGGGAGCGAACAGG
rnacentral:rRNA from 1 species